rnacentral:rRNA from 1 species
UUCGGUGAUUAUAUCAAGAGGGAAACGCCCGGCUCCAUCCCGAACCCGGAAGCUAAGCCUCUUCGAGCCGAUGGUACUGCACUCGGUAGGGUGUGGGAGAGUAGGUUAUCGCCGAGC